UGGUUUAUGACGAGGUUGAAUCAUUAUAUGAACAUCUCGACCAUGGCCAUAAUGGUUCCCAAUGAGACUGAAAGAUCAUUCUGUCUUUAAAAACACCUGGUGCCGUCCUCCCAAAACAGUGGACACCAAGAAUUGCUGAAGAAAUUGUUUAACUAUACAGUGUAAUGAUCAAAGAGAAGAUGACGAUAUAAGCAGUGAAUUAUUUGAAGUAAGGUCAUUUACAAGAUGGAAGGCAGCUGACUCGUGUAGUACAUAAUGCAAGAAUUCCUUUCAUACAUAAUCGAUAAAAGCUAAAAUGGUGCCUGAGGAUCAUUACCAAGCAAGAAGACUGUACAGGCCUUCCUGAUAAAUACACCAAUUCUUGAGGGGAUUGCUGAAAACGACAAGAAGUAAAAGCUGUAAAACAGUAUAUUCAAUGAGCCCAAAAAACAAAGG